GUCGCGGUACGGCGCGGUGCGCACCGACCGGGUGUUCAGCUCGGUGGUGAUGAACGUGCCACCCGGGUCCCGGCCGGCCGCGAUC
rnacentral:tRNA from 1 species